UUAAGCGAGUGUCCAGAGUUUGCAAUGGUCAGUGGUGUUUAUGUAUAGAACUGGGCAUCAGCACUCACACUGACAGAGGAACUGUUCUCUGGUCAUGUCGAGCUGCCUUCAGAUUGCCACUUUCAACAAAUUCAGAAUGUAGCCUAAAUUCAAAUGCUCUGAUUAAUAAUUCUGAAUGAAGAUCCGUAUAUAUUUAUAUGGCAGCGUUGCAGUCAGGUUAAGGCGCCCGGCAUUUUAGUUUUCUGUUGGAAUCUCCGUGUGGUCCUGCUUGGUAUUGCAGCUUGUUUUGUAGUUAUUUAUACAGAAAAUUGUCUAAAUAAAUCUAACGUUGAUUUUCAAUCACAGUUUUUGUUGUUGCAUCGUAGGCCUAUACAUCAAUUGUGAAUUAUUAUUUUUACAAUUGCAAAAAGCAUGGUAAAACAAUUAUAUUAAUUUAAAAUGUUUCAAGUCUAAACACUUUUCCCUUUGUUACACUGGGAUAAAUCAUACCGGGAUGUAUGCUAAAAUUGUUGGAUGUGGCACCGCACCUAGACAAUUUUCCACCAGCCGCCACUGAUUGCAUAUAUUAUAAUAAUGUAUUUUUAAUUUAUUUAUUUUGCACCGUUUUAUAAUUUUUAAUCAGGCGAAUACAUACGCAACACAAAUAAACUGGGGGAAAAUAAUAUCCAAUUAAAAAUGCACCAGUUCUCUGUUUUCCCCUAAUUUUUCUUUUGUUUCUGUUCAGUACGACACCAGGCGCAGGAUUUCGGCCGAGGAGUCUCUGAGACACCCUUACUUCCUGACUCUGGGCGAGAACAUUCACUCCAUACCUGACACCUCGUCUGUGUUUUCACUGAGGGAGAUCCAGCUACAGAAGGAUCUGGGACACAAGAGCUCAGUAUUCCAGCCGCUGGGUCGAGGCAAGAACCGCAGACAAAGCAUAUUCUGAAGACAAGAAUCCAAGUGGUGUGCAUGAAGGGAUCGCCAGAACAAAACCAUUAUGAAGCAAACAGCUUUGUUUCUCCAUUCCAAACGUGCAUGCAUGCAUGCAUCCAUUCAAAUUCACACCAAUUUAUUAGUCUGUACUUCAGAAAACAGACUGAACAGAAGUGAAUCAUCCUCAAUCAUGAGCUGGUUACAACUGUAACCAAGGCUCAAUCAAAUCUAUCCUGCAGUCUAUUGCAAACCUUAAAACCACACUGAUACUUAAGCUGAAGACAUUUAGACUUGAGAUCUGCCUCUUCUCUGCCAGGAUCUAGUAGUAUUUUCAGGCAUUCGUAGUAUUUUUAAUUGUGCGUUUAUGUGUAUGUGCCAAGAAACAUGGUAGCUUCAUGUCCUACUGUUUUUUUUUCCAACGAGUUGAAAUUUCCUUCAUUUCUGUUUGAGGUUUGACUUGUUUUGCCAUACGUGUUUGAUGAGUCAUUGCACAAGCUGAUAUUGCGGUUUAUUUCAUAAGCAUUCAUUCGAUACUGUAAUACAGAGAAGAGUUGACAUAUUAAAAAUGUAAAUUGUCGUAUAAAUAUUUGAGCCAUUGAAUAGAGAAUUACUUGAAUUCUGUCAAGACACCAUUUAAGUUAAACUACUAAAAGUGCUGUAAGCGAUUCUAGAACAGAAUUCUUCUAAACCUCACCCUGUCCACAAAAUGACUGACAGGCAGAGUAAAUAAAAAAAGGCUAUAGUUGCUUACAGCAUCUUUAACUAGUUACUAAUUUAUGAAUUCUUCAAAAGGUGCCUUUUGCUGACCGUAAGAGAUGAUGGGGUCCAAUUUUACGCCUUUCGAAAAACCAUCUACUUCAAUCUCCUCAAGGAUCUCGGUCCUUUCAAGUAAUUGCACAUGCAGAUAGUCGUUUUGCCAUUUAAGCUAAUUGCUUCUCCGUAUUUGCACAUGGCAUGCAAGUGUCCUGGACCUGAAACCUCAUGUUGUUCACCUUCUCCUACUGUAUCUUGUAGUUUGAAAAUGAAAGCACUAUGACUCUUUGUUGUAGACGGAAAUGAACACAAGCUAAAACUAAGCACAAACUAGUUUUACAGUGGACAGAAAUGAAAAGCUUGGUUUUAGUUUAAUGUUACUGCAGCAGCGGCACUAAUUUAUGUGU